AAUCAAGCGGUAUCUUUAUCUAUUGCAAGCUUAAUAUCCUGAUUGACAGCUGCUGUCUUGCUGAGAAGGGGGAGCUGCUAAUUCCUGCUGAAUUCAGUGCUCAGCAGGGGCUAAGAGUGGCUGUCUCUAGCAGAAACUGGAGAGCUGCUUCCCCAGCAGGAAGCAGAGAAGGGCCCCUGCUGAGGGCAGAACAAAGGCCAGAAGCCCCUGCCGUUCAGCCUCACAGCUGUUCUGCAGGAUCUUGCCUCCAGGGAGCCAACUCUUGGAUGUUAAGUAGCAGCCUAGUCACGGUGCACGCAGGAACACAGCGGAUCGCCCUCUCUGAGCUCCUUAUGCUGAAUAUUGGAAAAGCCCACUAGAGAAACUGCGAAAGAAUGCAAAUAACUUCAGGAUUAGUACACACAGAAAAGCUGUGCAGCUACUUCAUGGUUCAAGUACAUGACCAAAUCAGCUACAAGUAUAAAUUCAGAAGUUGCUCAAGGGAAAUUACUCUGGAAAUGAGCUAAGUGAAAUCUAAGUGCAACUCAACAUAUGGAGGAAGUGGCAGACUCGGACCCUCUGAGGACGAAAGGCAGGCAGACUCCAGACAACAAGCUCUUCUGGGACAAGGACACUGAUUAGGGACUGCAAUGGAGGUUCCCUCCAACUUUCAAAUUACUCUCCCACAUCCAUGCUUCAGUAAGAUCUUAAAAGAAGAAAACCAAACAGCCAGAAGUAUUGAUUGCUAAUUAAAACACCGACAGCUGUGCUGGAAUUGCUCAUUUGGAUAAGAUUUUUUUAACAUUGCUUUUAAAGCCUCACAAUAAGGUAACCACAAACGCCUAAUACUAUAAAUGACAGCACCUGUUCUCAUGCCCCAUUGCUGACCUCAAAGUCAGAAGACUAAGCUGCAAACUAAGUAAAGGGGCUGGGUUCUUUUUCUCUGCAUCUACAAAUAAUUCAAUAGGAUCUCUGAAGAACAUUAUGAAAAAUAUAAUGUAAAUCAUCUAUGGAACAUUCCAACUUCCAGCAACUCCCCUGCUUUUUCCCUCCCAAAACAAUAACAAAUAAUGUUUUGUUAUUGAAUGAAUCUAUCCCCAGAACAAAAUAUGAAUGAAUGUCAAUAAAUUUAAGUGAGAACAACA